AUACGGGGGGUGCAAGCGUUGUCCGGAAUCAUUGGGCGUACAGGGUUCGUAGGUGGAAUUAUAAGUCUGGUGUGAAAGCCCACAGCUCAACUGUGGAACUGCACUGGAUACUGUUUUUCUUGAGUUAUAGAGGGGUUUGUGGAAUUUCUGGUGUAGAGGUGAAAUUUGUAGAGAUCAGAAAGAACACCGGUGGCGAAGGCGACAAACUGGCUAUUAACUGACACUGAGGAACGAAAGCGUGGGGAGCGAACAGGAUUAGAAACCCUAGUAGUCC
rnacentral:rRNA from 1 species